CCAGUUUUCUGGGGCAAUUGUCAUUAGUUCAUAAUUUGUUGUUCAUUUUCUGUUUUUCAGAUUGCAGUUGAAACUGUGUGUGUGUGUUUCUUGCUUUCCUUCUUCAUCACAUACUCUUGUACUCAACGUUUUUACUGCACUUAAGCAGGAAAUUUUCCUGUUACGAAUGAUGAAUAAUGAUGAAUCUCAAUGGAACCUUACUACAAUCCUAAUACGAAUUAGGAUUUUUUAGUGUCUAAUUUUUUCCUUACUUGCAUCUAAAAUCAAGGAUGUUCCUCUUCCUGGGAACGGAGAGGAGCAACUGUUGACGGUGACCUCACAUUGGAACACUGCAGAUCAUUGGAGAAAUGAAGACAUGAAGAAAUUGUUGCAGAUAGAAUAAAAAGGCUUUCUACAAAUGUGAGUACUGGAAGUCAUGACUGAUGAAAUUAAACCAGAAAGUAGAAUAAACAAGAAAAAAAUAACGUGUAAAAAUUGGAGAAUCAAUCUGAAAUUUCCCAUACCUGAUUCAUAGGAGUUCCAGGAGAGAACAGGAAAAAAAAA